rnacentral:rRNA from 1 species
GAACGUUGGCGGCGUGCCUAACACAUGCAAGUCGAGGGGCAGCAGGCUACUACCUUCGGGUAGUAGUGCUGGCGACCGGCAAACGGGUGAGUAACACGUAGCUAACCUACCCAUAGGUUGGGGAUAACCAUCCGAAAGGGUGGCUAAUACCCAAUAAAGAGGGGACUCCAAAGCCCUUACGGGUGCCUAUGGAUGGGGCUGCGUCCCAUCAGCUAGUUGGUGAGGUAAAGGCUCACCAAGGCUACGACGGGUAACCGGUCUGAGAGGAUGAUCGGUCACAGUGGGACUGAGACACGGCCCGCACCCCUACGGGGGGCAGCAGUGGGGAAUAUUGGGCAAUGGCCGAAAGGCUGACCCAGCAACGCCGCGUGGUGGAAGAAGCCCUUCGGGGUGUAAACACCUUUUCUGGGGGAAGACAAUGACGGUACCCCAGGAAUAAGGGGCGGCUAACUACGUGCCAGCAGCCGCGGUAAUACGUAGGUCCCGAACGUUGCGCGAAAUUACUGGGCGUAAAGGGUCCGUAGGCGGUCUGGUAAGUGGAAGGUGAAAU